CGGUAGCACAGAGAGCUUGCUCUCGGGUGACGAGCGGCGGACGGGUGAGUAAUGUCUGGGAAACUGCCUGAUGGAGGGGGAUAACUACUGGAAACGGUAGCUAAUACCGCAUAAUGUCGCAAGACCAAAGUGGGGGACCUUCGGGCCUCAUGCCAUCAGAUGUGCCCAGAUGGGAUUAGCUAGUAGGUGGGGUAACGGCUCACCUAGGCGACGAUCCCUAGCUGGUCUGAGAGGAUGACCAGCCACACUGGAACUGAGACACGGUCCAGACUCCUACGGGAGGCAGCAGUGGGGAAUAUUGCACAAUGGGCCCAAGCCUGAUGCAGCCAUGCCGCGUGUGUGAAGAAGGCCUUCGGGUUGUAAAGCACUUUCAGCGGGGAGGAAGGCGAUGAGGUUAAUAACCUCGUCGAUUGACGUUACCCGCAGAAGAAGCACCGGCUAACUCCGUGCCAGCAGCCGCGGUAAUACGGAGGGUGCAAGCGUUAAUCGGAAUUACUGGGCGUAAAGCGCACGCAGGCGGUCUGUCAAGUCGGAUGUGAAAUCCCCGGGCUCAACCUGGGGAACUGCAUUCGAAACUGGCAGGCUAGAGUCUUGUAGAGGGGGGGUAGAAUAACCAGGUGUAGCGGUGAAAUGCGUAGAGAUCUGGAGGAAUACCGGUGGCGAAGGCGGCCCCCUGGACAAAGACUGACGCUCAGGUGCGAAAGCGUGGGGAGCAAACAGGAUUAGAUACCCUGGUAGUCCACGCCGUAAACGAUGUCGAUUUGGAGGUUGUGCCCUUGAGGCGUGGCUUCCGGAGCUAACGCGUUAAAUCGACCGCCUGGGGAGUACGGCCGCAAGGUUAAAACUCAAAUGAAUUGACGGGGGCCCGCACAAGCGGUGGAGCAUGUGGUUUAAUUCGAUGCAACGCGAAGAACCUUACCUGGUCUUGACAUCCACAGAACUUUCCAGAGAUGGAUUGGUGCCUUCGGGAACUGUGAG
rnacentral:rRNA from 1 species